GGUGCUGCGUUAAUGCUUUUUGCUCGUUCUGUGUCAAUUUGCAGCCUGGCUCGUGGUUUCCCCUGGUGCUGGGGAGUGGAGGCGAGUUGUGCUUCCUGCCGGGAGAGAGAAGGGCCUUGGGAAGCUGCUCCAUGAGCCACAGCUGUGCCGAGCCCGGGAGUCUGUCCAGCAGGAUGUGGAGUGCCACCAUGUCCCCGAGGUCACCCUUUCUGCUGUUGGGAGAGCAUGAGGUGGAUGGAGAGGAUCCCCAGGCAUCUGCAGGCAAAAGGGACUGGCACAACUGCGAUUUUUCUCCAGCUCUCCUAAGGUGGACUUUCAGGGUACCAUGGGUAAUGUGCCAGCUCUCCUGCUGGAGUUUUUGUCUUCUGCUAUAUUUGAACAUCAAGAGUAAAACUACAGUCAGGACGUGAAUGCAAGAACCUGCCAAGGAACCAAUGGCCAAGAUGAUUGAUGAGUGCAGGACCUGAGAGAACCACCUUGAAUGACAACCUUAGGUUUAAAAGAUGGCCGUUGCCUUUGAAGGAGAAAAUCUGGAAAGCAGGAAGGAAGAAAAGAAGCCACCUGACUCCUCCCUGAGCCCCAGACA